rnacentral:lncRNA from 1 species
AUCAAUAAGCAACUAGAUAAACCGAGAAUUCUUAGGAAACUCAAGAAUGUGGCGGAUCCAUUCACUCCCUCCACCAGAUCUGGACGGAUAUGGACUGAGGCACUUUGCCAGAGCUGGGGGCACACCUGAUCCACGCCCCACACGGCUUCCAUUCUGACAGAAGGUCUUGUGUCACCACCUGCAAACGCACGUGAAGUAGAAAGAGCUGUGGGCACCCCCGGGGAGAUGUGACCAGCCCAGGCGUCAGGAAGAGCCACCUUGAUGAAGCAAUGUGUAAGCUGAGAGCUGUAGGACCAAAGGAGCUGACAAGAGCACAGCGCCCCCAAAGGGAUCGCUACCUUGAAGACCUAAAAGGAAAACAGCAACCUUCCCUGGGGAGGAGCUGAGGACUAGCGACACUGCCCCCAAGGCACCCUCCCUGGGUGUGAGGAUGACGCCCCAGCCGAUGAGGGAAUAAGCCGGAGCCCCACUGUGGAUUUCCGAGCUCCAGCCCCUCGGGAACUCAGCUCCCUGAAGCCAGUCAACGUGUGGCAUUAGUGCCAGGGAGCAGGUGGGCCCUCAUCUCUAGUCUCCAGUGGAAAGAAAUCACACUCCAGGAAGAUGAUCUUCAGCACACAUUACGUCUUAAACGUGAAAACAGGCGAGAUAGAUAGAAAGAUCUUGUAAUGUCCUCGUGUGAGCUACAGGGACACGGGGACACGUGCAGACAGCCCCCUGAGGUGGUCCCUGCUUUGGGGAUCCCCACCCGCUCCCUCCAGCUCCCCGAGGCUGAUGGACAGGCACGGAUCCUCCUUCAGUUCUGAGAAUGAAGAAGUCCACGUUCCACCCACCCCGUGGCGACCACCGCCUCGCCCCUCCCAAGCGUCACUUCCCUCAUAUCUUGUUCUGUGGUCAGGGAGCAAAGAAGGAAGGAAUCUGAGGACAUGUCCACUCUUCACUUACCAAACACAGAAACUGACAGCUCUCUCCCUGCCGGCCCCGCUCCCGUCACAUGAAGAACAGAACAAGAAGCAACAACUAGUCUCCUUCCUGCUUCCUUCUCAAAUGAGCUAAAGAAAUUAUUCCGACACUUGUUCAAACGGUAAGGAAGACCUUGUUCAAGACUAUGGGAGUGAGGCUCCACUCCGAACGCAGCAAAGAUGGCUGAAUAUAGCAAAGAUGGUCCAGGCUUACAGCCCACGCGCAGAGGGAGAGGUCGGUGGGUGGAUGCAAAGCCACCAAGGAGACAUCCAGGGUCGGGGUGCUGGCUACGCUGACUCAGCAGGUUCCUGCAGAAGCAGUGAGGGCCAUCAGACCCCGGGCAGGGGUGAGGACCUCGCCCAGGCAUCUGGAGUAGGGAAUCUGGCUAAGCUGACUCGGCAGGAUUCUGUGCUGAGAUCGUCUUCCAAAGGCCAAGGACAAGGAGCCUGUCUGAAGCCUGGUCAAGGGGAGGCUCUUUGUGAACCACCAGAGUUAAACUGGGGCAACUUGUGUGUGUGUUUGCACACCUGCACAUAGCGUGUGUGUGCACAGACGUGUGUUUAAUUAUGGAAAUGGAAGAUGCAGAAGCAAGAGUAUUUUUAGUUGAGACAAGUUGCUCCCUCAGGCCCAGUUAACUCCAGGCUGUGUGGGGAUCUUCCCCCGCCCACAUCUAGAGAUGUGAACCAGCAGGGGUUUGCUCCAUCACUUAUCUGGAAUAAAGAUUAAAAUUAAGAUUAGUGGUCAUCUGCUCUCAGGAACAAGCCAGCCAGGGAAAUUUACAGGAAAUGAGACAAGAGUCUGGGGGAGUGGCCCACACGCACUGUUGUGCAUCCCGCCCACACUUAGCCCUAGGGGACAACUCAGCCCUCAGUCCUCAGACACUUAUUGAACACCUGCUCUGAGCCCGGCCCUGAGAAGGUGCUGAGGAUCCAGUCCCCACUCCUGAGGGGCCUGUGGUCCAGGAGGGGAGGAGGAGGGUCCCCACUCCUGAGGGGCCUGUGGUCCAGGAGGGGAGGCUGAGG